GGGGAUUUAGCUCAGUGGUAGAGUGCUUGCCUAGCAAGCGCAAGGCCCUGGAUUCAGUCCCCA
rfam:Rattus norvegicus chromosome 2, whole genome shotgun sequence.